UUCACAACUCAGGUAUUUAACUUGCAGAAUUCAGGAAUCUAAUUUUUGUAACCAACUUAUUUCAUUUUAAACUGUAUGAGAAUGCAUUGUCUUGGAGCGGUAAUAAAUAAACACACUAAGAAUAUAUAUAUAUACAAAAACCCACCAAGGGGGAAAAAUACAUGACCGGCAAUAUUGUCAGUAGCUGCAGGUAUAAAAAAAAAAGUGUUUCCGGACUAAGUUUCUAGCCAGACAGAAUACAUGUGCAGGUA